rnacentral:rRNA from 1 species
UACCAGCUCUCCGAGUGGUGUGGAUGUUUAUUGGGCCUAAAGCAUCCGUAGCUGGCCGGACAAGUCCCCUGUUAAAUCCACCGAUUUAAUCGUUGGUGUGCGGGGGAUACUGUUCGGCUAGGGGACGGGAGAGGCCGACGGUAUUUCCGGGGUAGGGGUGAAAUCCUAUAAUCCCGGGAAGACCACCAGUGGCGAAGGCUGUCGGCUAGAACGCGCCCGACGGUGAGGGAUGAAAGCUGGGGGAGCGAACCGGAUUAGAUACCCGGGUAGUCCCAGCUGUAAACGAUGCGGGCUAGGUGUUUGGGCGGCUACGUGCCGCUCUAGUGCCGCAAGGAAGCUGUUAAGCCUGCCGCCUGGGGAGUACAGCCGCAAGGCUGAAACUUAAAGGAAUUGGCGGGGGAGCACCACAAGGGGUGAAGCUUGCGGUUU